UAGAAGCUAAACAAAAACGAAGGCUAAUGAGCCUUUUCUUGGAACAAUGGUAACAAAGCCGUCUUUGGCUAGCAAUCUUUGCUCCUUUCUGUCUCUAUAGUAGUUGUUCGCCUAUUUUUUGGCAAAGAAUUAAAAACCUAGUCAUUUGGUAGAACCCCGUUUUUUUUUUUAUUUUUUUGAUUCAAGGGAGAGUUUUUUGGACAACCAAACAAAAAAUAAGUUUUAACACCCCAAGUUCCAGAAAUUUUGGUCACUUUGCUCAAAACAAGAAAUUUCUCUUGUAAGCCGCGUUCUUGAAAUUAUCGGAACAAGUUUAAAAGUUUUUCGUGUUCGAGUCAGUUCGUCGUCGUUGGGGAAAGGUCGAAGGUGAUCGUCAACUCUCAUUGCCCCUGUCGCUGCAUCGAAAAAAGAUACUACACAAAGGGCUGAUGAGAAAAUUUAAUUUGAGGCCAUGCCUUGUCCGGAAAGGUUAUCCCUCAGUUUGGGCAAUAAUGAUGCUUAUAAAUAAGAUCACGAGGUAGAAAUAGACGAGCGCAUGGAUGUGAACUAGUAUGGCUAACAAGCAAACUAGUUUCGUAAUCACGGACUAGUAUGGCUAACAAACAAACUAGUAUUUGUAACCGUGACUUGACUUGGUUUCUAGCAAAAAUUCGAAAGCGUAAAUCUGAGCCUCCCUAAUCAAAGCUCACAAAGUUUGAUAUGAGUCCGAGGGAUAUUAUUUUUAUGUUCAUAAACGUCACCCUAUGGGGUGGCGUAUCAUUUUGACUAACUACUUUUCUCUUCAUUGUGCGAGGUACAAAUAAAGCGAAUCCGGGGGACGAAGAACUACAAAAAGCAUAGAAGAACUAGAAGAGCAUAGGAUUGCUAAAGGAUUUGGGCCCAAGGCCGAAAAAGCUAAAUUUUCUUCCUUUCCUUUAUUUUGUGUAAACAUGCUUAUUUUAUAUGUCUACAUUGAUUUUGUAUGAACAUGUUUUUUUGUUUGUGCAUACUUGUGUAUUAUUGAAACCCUUUAGAACUUAGUUGAAACCUUGCAUGAUAAAAAUGAUUCAAGUUGUUUUCAAAAACCGUUUUGGGCCUUGGCUCGCAUAAAGAUAAUAAAACAAAAGAAAUCCCACUUAAACCCAAGUUGGGGAUGAUGGAUUUGGUGUGGAAUAUGGUUGACCUUAAAUGAGCUAAAAUGGUUAAAUAUGUGAAAUCCUUUUCUUUAUUUAUACUUAUAAUAUUCAUGCUAUUUUCUAAAAAGGGUAGAAUACUCCAUUUUUUCCUAAAUAUAUAUAUAUAAACUUAUAAGGAUAGAAUCAUGACAUUGGACCAAAUUAGUGGUAACUCUACUUAAGAAAAAUCUUAAGUGUGUUUUGGUCCGGAAAUGAAGUGAAUUUAAUCAAUUAUAAGCAUUUUCUAAAAGAAAAAUCAUCUUUUCUUGCUUAAGAGAUAAUUUUUCCAAAAAGUGGAGUUUUAUGAUAUUAGCAUGACAGUUUUGCAAGAAAGAGACAUUUUAGCAAAUAAUCACAUUAAUCACACGUUGAAACUCGAAGGUGAACUGUAUUCUACGGAUCCUUAAUACUAGGGUGCUUAAAACCUUCCCUAGGGGAUCACCAGAACCCUUACCUCGAACUCUGGUUUAAAAGGAUUUUUUCUUUGUUUAAACCCUUUUUAACUUGGUUUUUCCUAAUUUCCCUUAAUAAAUUUGGUGGCGACUCUAAAAACAUAAAAUCCAAUUAGAGCACCAACAACCUCUUAAUAGCUUUUAUGCACCCACGUAAAAGUGAACAGUAACAGGGAGCGCCUGUGUUGUUUGUAAGAAAGAAGGAUGGCUCAUUACGGAUGUGUAUCGACUACAGGCAGCUGAAUAAGGUGACAAUAAAUAGAAAAUAUCCACUUCCGAGAAUCGAUGAUUUAUUUUAUCAAUUGCAGGGUGCUAAAUGGUUUUCGAAGAUAGAUUUAAGACCAUGAUAUCAUCAGGUAAGGGCCAGAGAGAAAGAUAUCCCGAAGACGGCUUUCCGAACCAGAUAUGGUCAUUUCGAGUUUUGAGUAAUGUCGUUCGGGUUGACUAAUGCAUCGGCGGUAUUCAUGGACUUAAUGAACAGUGUAUUCAGACCUUUCCUAAGUCUGUUUGUGAUUGUGUUUAUUGAUGACAUCCUGGUAUACUCUCGAUUGGAGGCAGAACAUGCAAAUCAUUUACGCGCUGUCCUUAAAGCCCUCCAAGAUUGAAAGUUGUAUGCAAAGUUCUCUAAAUGUGAGUUUUGGUUGAACUCUGUGACUUUUCUGGGGCAUAUUAUUUCAGCUGACGGUAUCCGGGUGGAUACACAGAAGAUUGACGCUGUGAAGACUUGGCCAAAAAUAACAACACCUACGGAGGUUCGUAGUUUUCUAGGUUUGGCAGGCUAUUACAGGAGAUUCGCACAAGGUUUUUCUUCUAUUUCUGCACCAUUGACGAAGCUGACUCAGAAAUCAGCUAAGUUUCAGUUGACAGAUGUUUCUGAGCGAAGUUUUCAACAGUAGAAGAACAGAUUAACUUCGGCCCUGGUUCUGACACUUCCAGAAGGAUCGGAGGGUUAUGUUAUUUAUUGUGAUGCCUCGGGCGUCGGGCUAGGUUUUGUGUUGAUGCAACACAACAAAGUUAUUGCUUACGCUUCAAGGUAGUUACGGAAGCACGAAAAUAACUAUCCAACACAUGAUCUAGAGUUAGCGCGGUGAUUCAUGCAUUGACAAUGUGGCGACAUUACUUGUAUGGUGUUCAUGUGGAUAUUUAUACAAAAAAUAAGAGCCUCCAUUAUAUUUUCAAGCAGAAGGAGUUGAAUUUGUGAUAGAGGCGAUGGUUAGAGUUAUUAAAAGAUUAUGAUGUUAGUAUCUUAUAUCAUCCUGGAAAGGCGAAUGCAGUAGCCGAUGCUUUUAGCUGCAAAUCUAUUGGUAGAUUAUGUGAUGUCCAGCUAGAGAAAAGGAAGAGUGUUCAUGAGUGUUACAGUUCGCAUUUCGCGGGUGGGGUUAGAACUCAUAAAGAUACUUCAAACUUAUUGGUGCUCUUUCGGACUUGUUUUGAAAAAGAGUCGCCACCUAAUUUUUAGGAAAUAAGAAAAACCAAAGGUGAAGGGUUUAUUCAAAUACAGUGAAAAAACUUUCGUAAUCUAAUGUUCUAGGUAAGGGUUCUAGUGAUCCCCUAGGGAAGCUGUUAGGCACCCUAGUAUUAAAGAUCCCUACUAUACGGUUGACCUUCGAAUUCAAGUGUACGAUUAUUUGCAUGAACUUUUUAUUUUUUUGUGUUUAUUCCGCAUUUAUAAAAGAUUGUCAUUUAUUGCAUAUCAUUGGAUUUUAGGAAAAAGAAUUGAAUAUAUUCCCCUUACAUAUGGGGUAUUUAGGUUCGGAUUUAUAAUAUCCUGAUACGAAUAGUCUCCUUAUAUAUAUAAGGAUAGUAUAUUUGAAUGUCCUAUCUAAAACCUUACAUAUGGGGUAUUUAGGUUUGGAUUUAUAAUAUCCGGAUAUGAAUAGUCUCCUUUUAUGUAUAAGGAUAGUAUAUUUGAACGUCCUAUCAAUCCGUAUAGUACGUUAGAUGUCCUAUCUAAAACCUUUAUAUUUACGAAUGCAUUUCAAUCUUUAUUUGCAUACAUUUUAGCUUAUGAAAUAGUUUGCUCUUGUUUAUUGUGAAUACAUGCAUACACACGAAAUUGAUUUUGGAGUUGGGCUUAAAAGCCAAAAUUUAUGACUUUUCUUUAAGUAAAAUUUACUUGUCAUAACUACCUCUAAGAUUUAUUUAUGAAUAAUAACUACUUUAUUGUUUAUUUAAUUUUUAUAGCUUUAUUUUUUAAAAAUUACAUUUCAUAACUAGUCCAGUAACUUUUGAAAUACAUAUACCUCUCUAUUAUCCCUCACUACACAUUUAAGAUUUAUCAUCUUCUUCAAACCCUAAAAAAAAUUCUCUCUCUUCUCUCCCUUUCCCCUCACUGCCGCCUCUCUCCCUUCCUUUCUUUAUCACCAGCCUCUCUUCUCCUUCCCCUCACAUACCCCCUCCAUCCCUUAUCUAUCUACACCACUCACCCCGUCGUCAACACCACCACUAUUACUACCAUCUCUAUAUCCAAACUCAAAAAAAAAAAAAAAAACAUUGUAAUUAAGUUAUUAAACCCUAAUUAA